CCUGAAGCUUCGGCUUAACAUACACUAAAAUUGGAACGAUACAGAGAAGAUUAGCAUGGUCCCUCCGACAAGGGACCAUGCUAAUCUUCUCUGUAUCGUUCCAAUAAUCU
ensembl:snRNA U6 U6 spliceosomal RNA